AUUUCUCAAUCCUUUCUGGGUUUAUUCUCAGCUAGGCUUGGAUAUGGGGGUUUUGCUGGCUUUGUACAGACAAAGUCAGCUCUCCCGAAAAACAUUAGCAAGACUGUUGUUGCAACCUUCUAUCUGGUGUGAUAAUUAUCUACAUCAUAGAUUGUAUGCAGUUUAUUAUGUCUGGCUUCUAACAGUCCAUUGAAUUGGACAAAACCUAUGACA
rnacentral:misc_RNA from 1 species